rnacentral:lncRNA from 1 species
UUCAGGCAAUGUUGAUUGUUCUAAUGCAGCAAACGGACCAUUUGAAGAUCGGUGGUUGCGGAUCGCAGGCGAGGCAGCGAGUGGAAAUUAGGGUUUCCGGUGGUUGUGUGAGCUCUAUGAACAAGUUUUCUGGUGACGAGUGUUGGUGUUUUUUUCACGGUGGAUUCAUAUAUUGAUACAUGUGUGUGUGUGUGUGUAUUAUAUUUAUUUACUUAUUUAUAUUCUUUCUCAUCACUUUCGGUUGGAUGUUCUCUGGCAGUGUUUUGGAAGACAAUCUCCGAGUUAUUCUCAUGGUCUACUGCAUACGUGGUAACGGACAUCAUCCAGUUAAAUUUAGAUAUGGAAUCGAUCUGGUAUAAGGUAUCUGAAGAUUGUUUUCCGUUCAUUUACGUUGGUUUUUCUAUAAUUGGGUUCGUCUAGUGAUUUCCCCAACUGUGUGGUUCAGUUCAUGAUCUCAACAUUAGCGGUGUCUUUCUCUGGCCAGGUUUAUUACGAUGAUCGCAUGUCCUGCAUGCAGCUGCAUGUUCGACCAUAUGGCUCAAGAUAGUUCAGAAAAAACUAUGAGUUUUGUUAUGAAAGGAAAAGGAUAGGGAUUUGCGAGGCCACAAUGCACUCCACAUGCAAGUCAAACAGGAAAUUUUCAGACAUGGUGGGCAUAAAACCGCAUUCGAUUCAAUGAGAUGGCGGUACAUGAAGCUCGUUACCCACGUCGGACUCAGCAACAAAGGGGAAUGGUUUUUACUCACACAGGAAAAAAGGCAACAUUUAGUGUAUUAAACCAAAACAAACUUUCUUGAUCAUUUCGCCCUAUUGAGUGCAUAAGAUAUUCUUUCAACCUCAACUGUUCACCAUCCUUCCUAGAAUUCGCUUCUCCACUUCUUCGUAUCUUCUACACCUAGUGCAGCAUGUAAGUAUUUAAUGCAAAUUUUACUGUCACUCAAUAUUCCUCUUUCAUUCUCAUCCCAGGUGCUGUCUAUCGAUUAUCUCUCCAUUCUGUUGUUUGGCCCAAAGGAAAUUGGGAGGCUUGGAGUCAGCUUAUGGACAGUCUCAUGUUUACAUUGUUGAAAGUUCAACAUCCCCUGUACCACGAUGAGUUCAAAUGUUUUAGACAUCUUUCCAAGCUUUAGAUGGAUCUCUUCGCUUCUGCAACGGUUGAGGGCCCUUCAAGAAAAGAAAGCUGCGUAUCCUUUGUUUAUUAGAAAGUUCAAAUUGUGAAACCAAUAAGAACUAUGUGAGUCAAGAAUUUCUUGUCUUGCAAAAUCAUAUUUCGGGAGAUUAUACGGUUGGGAAAUUUACGACUCUUUGAAGUAAUUUUUUGAUGCCCUUGGCACAAGACGGUUGCAAUUCUGCUGGACGUAAUGUUUAUCCUGAAGGAACCUCAAAAAGCCAGUGGACUUGAUUACGAAUUAAUUCUUUAACUUCACUCAUUUUGCUUCUAGGAAACUUGGCUCAUGCCUCACACUUUAGUGUGCUGAGUUUUCGGCAUUCGAAUAGGAAUUCGAACUUUUCUAAUGACAGGAGGUGUAGUUCCAUGAGCUGAGAAUCCUGAAGUUGUGCAGAACAUCGCAGCCUGCUGAGAGCUGCCUUCAUCAACAUUUUCACUUGAUGUUGGAUGUGCCCACUGGUGAUCCACUCCCGGAGGAAAUGAGUCUGUAGAGGUCUUUUGUGAUAUCCAAAACUCAAAUCCAUGUCCUUGGACUUAACCAAAUGAAGCGCAUAUUGUCCAUGAGCGUUUUGUUGAGAAGCACGAACAAAAUUUUCAAUACUCGGAAACUAAACUGC